GGACCCGCACAAGUAGUGGAGCAUGUGGUUUAAUUCGAAGAUACGCGCAGAACCUUACCAACACUUGACAUGUUCGUCGCGACUUUAAGAGAUUAAAGUUUUCGGUUCGGCCGGACGAAACACAGGUGCUGCAUGGCUGUCGUCAGCUCGUGUCGUGAGAUGUUGGUUAAGUCCCGCAACGAGCGCAACCCUCACUUUUAGUUGCCAUCAUUUAGUUGGGCACUCUGAAAGAACUGCCAGUGAUAAGCUGGAGGAAGGUGGGGAUGACGUCAAGUCCUCAUGGCCCUUACGUGUUGGGCUACACACGUGCUACAAUGGCUAGGACAGACGGCUGCAAACCAGCGAUGGGGAG
rnacentral:rRNA from 1 species